rnacentral:rRNA from 1 species
UUAAGCGACUAAGCGUACACGGUGGAUGCCCUGGCAGUCAGAGGCGAUGAAGGACGUGCUAAUCUGCGAAAAGCGUCGGUAAGGUGAUAUGAACCGUUAUAACCGGCGAUGUCCGAAUGGGGAAACCCAGUGCAAUUCGUUGCACUAUCGUUAACUGAAUACAUAGGUUAACGAGGCGAACCGGGGGAACUGAAACAUCUAAGUACCCCGAGGAAAAGAAAUCAACCGAGAUUCCCCCAGUAGCGGCGAGCGAACGGGGAGCAGCCCAGAGUCUGAAUCAGCUUGUGUGUUAGUGGAACGGUCUGGAAAGUCCGACGGUACAGGGUGAUAGUCCCGUACACCAAAAUGCACAGGCUGUGAACUCGAAGAGUAGGGCGGGACACGUGGUAUCCUGUCUGAAUAUGGGGGGACCAUCCUCCAAGGCUAAAUACUCCUGACUGACCGAUAGUGAACCAGUACCGUGAGGGAAAGGCGAAAAGAACCCCGGCGAGGGGAGUGAAAAAGAACCUGAAACCGUGUACGUACAAGCAGUGGGAGCACCUUCGGGUGUGACUGCGUACCUUUUGUAUAAUGGGUCAGCGACUUAUAUUCUGUAGCAAGGUUAACCGUAUAGGGGAGCCGCAGGGAAACCGAGUCUUAACUGGGCGUUAAGUUGCAGGGUAUAGACCCGAAACCCGGUGAUCUAGCCAUGGGCAGGUUGAAGGUUGGGUAACACUAACUGGAGGACCGAACCGACUAAUGUUGAAAAAUUAGCGGAUGACUUGUGGCUGGGGGUGAAAGGCCAAUCAAACCGGGAGAUAGCUGGUUCUCCCCGAAAGCUAUUUAGGUAGCGCCUCGUGAAUUCAUCUUCGGGGGUAGAGCACUGUUUCGGCUAGGGGGUCAUCCCGACUUACCAACCCGAUGCAAACUACGAAUACCGAAGAAUGUUAUCACGGGAGACACACGGCGGGUGCUAACGUCCGUCGUGAAGAGGGAAACAACCCAGACCGCCAGCUAAGGUCCCAAAGUCAUGGUUAAGUGGGAAACGAUGUGGGAAGGCACAGACAGCCAGGAUGUUGGCUUAGAAGCAGCCAUCAUUUAAAGAAAGCGUAAUAGCUCACUGGUCGAGUCGGCCUGCGCGGAAGAUGUAACGGGGCUAAACCAUGCACCGAAGCUGCGGCAGCGACACUAUGUGUUGUUGGGUAGGGGAGCGUUCUGUAAGCCUGCGAAGGUGUGCUGUGAGGCAUGCUGGAGGUAUCAGAAGUGCGAAUGCUGACAUAAGUAACGAUAAAGCGGGUGAAAAGCCCGCUCGCCGGAAGACCAAGGGUUCCUGUCCAACGUUAAUCGGGGCAGGGUGAGUCGACCCCUAAGGCGAGGCCGAAAGGCGUAGUCGAUGGGAAACAGGUUAAUAUUCCUGUACUUGGUGUUACUGCGAAGGGGGGACGGAGAAGGCUAUGUUAGCCGGGCGACGGUUGUCCCGGUUUAAGCAUGUAGGCUGGUUGUCCAGGCAAAUCCGGAUAAUCAAGGCUGAGGUGUGAUGACGAGGCACUACGGUGCUGAAGUAACAAAUGCCCUGCUUCCAGGAAAAGCCUCUAAGCAUCAGGUAACAUCAAAUCGUACCCCAAACCGACACAGGUGGUCAGGUAGAGAAUACCAAGGCGCUUGAGAGAACUCGGGUGAAGGAACUAGGCAAAAUGGUGCCGUAACUUCGGGAGAAGGCACGCUGGUGUGUAGGUGAAGUCCCUGCGGAUGGAGCUGAGACCAGUCGAAGAUACCAGCUGGCUGCAACUGUUUAUUAAAAACACAGCACUGUGCAAACACGAAAGUGGACGUAUACGGUGUGACGCCUGCCCGGUGCCGGAAGGUUAAUUGAUGGGGUUAUCCGUAAGGAGAAGCUCUUGAUCGAAGCCCCGGUAAACGGCGGCCGUAACUAUAACGGUCCUAAGGUAGCGAAAUUCCUUGUCGGGUAAGUUCCGACCUGCACGAAUGGCGUAAUGAUGGCCAGGCUGUCUCCACCCGAGACUCAGUGAAAUUGAACUCGCUGUGAAGAUGCAGUGUACCCGCGGCAAGACG